rnacentral:tRNA from 1 species
AUGCAAACGAACAGAUCUUGGAGGCCUACUACAGGGUUCCGCUCGGGCGCUUCGUGUCCGUGAC